rnacentral:rRNA from 1 species
AUUGAACGCUGGCGGCAGGCCUAACACGUGCAAGUCGAGCGGAUGAAGGGAGCUUGCUCCUGGAUUCAGCGGCGGACGGGUGAGUAAUGCCUAGGAAUCUGCCUGGUAGUGGGGGAUAACGUCCGGAAACGGGCGCUAAUACCGCAUACGUCCUGAGGGAGAAAGUGGGGGAUCUUCGGACCUCACGCUAUCAGAUGAGCCUAGGUCGGAUUAGCUAGUUGGUGGGGUAAAGGCCUACCAAGGCGACGAUCCGUAACUGGUCUGAGAGGAUGAUCAGUCACACUGGAACUGAGACACGGUCCAGACUCCUACGGGAGGCAGCAGUGGGGAAUAUUGGACAAUGGGCGAAAGCCUGAUCCAGCCAUGCCGCGUGUGUGAAGAAGGUCUUCGGAUUGUAAAGCACUCUAAGUUGGGAGGAAGGGCAGUAAGUUAAUACCUUGCUGUUUUGACGUUACCAACAGAAUAAGCACCGGCUAACUUCGUG